CUUUUCCUUGGGCUAACUCUUCACUGCGGUGCUGCUCCACAGCCAGCCCCCGCGCGCAGCCCUCCCCGCACCAGCUCGGCUGCGGAGCUCGGGUCCGCCGCCCACGCCGCCUUUCAACCGCAGUGCCCGGCCCGGGCCUUAGACGCGCGUGCGCGCGAGCCGGGGAGGGCGGGCCGCAGCCGGAGGAGGCGGAACAGGGCCUCGCGAUGUGCAGCCCAUUGGCUCUCUCCUGCAGUCCCCGCCCCCGGGCGUUCGAGGCGGCGGGGCGGGCCACGUCAGGCGGCCGGCGCUGGGCUGAGCUUGUGGCAGAAAGGAGAAGCUGCACACAUACAUGUAAGAGAAGCAAAAAUGUCAGAUGAUAUCAGGAAAAGGUUUGAAUUUCCAAAUUCUCUUAUCCAAUCACAGGCUGCGGGUCAUCUUAUUGCUGCAGUCCUAAAGGAGAAUGGUUUUUCAGAAAAGAUUUACCAAUCUACAAAUCAGACUCCUGCUUUGAACUUGCUGUGGGAGAAGUGUUGCAGUGAC
rnacentral:sRNA from 1 species